rnacentral:misc_RNA from 1 species
CAGCACCGCGGCAUCCAACACAGGUUCUCAAACAGAAUAUCGAUAGAUUGAGAGUGCGCUAGUCUACCCUUUCCCUCAUAUCCAUGCAGUACCGCUGACCCUCUCACGCUGUGCAGGCACACGAUUAACACACCCGCCAGCCGGAGGUGAGCACGAUGCAGACGUGGUAUCGACCCCACCCCUACGGUAUUUACCCACGCGGCAACGCCGUCAAGCGCUCUGACAUAUUCGACCGACUCGGCACCUUUUCCAUCUUCACCGCCGCAACCACGGAUGACGACAAGGAGCACACGGAGCAGCCCUACCUGGAACUCGUCCAGUGCUUUCUCGCCUUUCUCGAGGUGCCCGAUCUGUGCCGACUGUCGCGCAGCUGUACGGGCUGGUAUGUACUAGUGCAUUGCACAGAUGCCUUCAAGGCAGCGUACACAGCCUUGUCGCCGUCGUACCUGCGGUUCCGUGGCAGCUGGAAGGAAACGGCAGUGCGAGGCUACGUGGCGGUGCAUGGCGGCACGCCGAACGCGGUCCCUGCCGCUUCCAUUACGAACAGCACCCCCUCCAAGAAGAGGUCGAAGGUGGAGAGCAAACGUAUGCGGGCUACUCCGGCGCCUGCUGGUGAGACAUCUGCUGCAUUUGCACGCCACACACCGGUGUGCGUGCGCCGACGCUUCUUCUGUGAUCAGCUCUUCCAGGCAUGGAUGUGCACCAUUCUACCACCCUACUAUCACCUGCACCCCGUCGCUGAGGAGCCGCAGGAGGCGUCGCCGUCGCUCUCGUCUUCCGCAGUGCGGACCGAGAAGAGUGCGGGGCAGAACGCUGGGUCCAAGAGUCGAAAGAGGCAGCAAGUUGCGGCAUGGCCCGCGGCUGCGUCGACCUCCUCGACCGCCGAGCUGGCGGAUUCGGUGGACGCGCCUCAGAGCCGUAGCCCACGGUACAUGUCGAAGUUUCGCCCUGUCGAGCGGUGCAGCCGUAUUUCUGUCGAUGAGUUCCACGACCGCUUUGAAAAGCCGAACGUGCCAGUCGUGAUCACAGACGUGGCGACGGAGUGGCCGCUUUUCAAGAUCCUCCAAGGCCGCUUCACCAACCUAGCGGACAAGAAGGACUCCCUUGUGCGUAGCGGCUGCCCUGUGACGUCACCGUUGCGCUGCGAGCACACAAACAUGGAUCUGGAAGACUAUGUGCACUACGCAACGGAGCAGAACGACGAGCGGCCGAUAUACAUGUUCGACGCCGAGUUCGGGAGUGUGCUGGAUGCAGAGAAGCUGUACACGGUGCCACCCUACUUCGCCCGAGAUGACUUCUUCUCAGCACUUGGCGACCGCCGACCCAAGUUUCGCUGGAUCGUCGCGGGCCCGCAGCGUAGUGGCAGCAGCUUCCACGUGGACCCCAACUACACCAACGCGUGGAACGCGAACAUGACGGGUCGCAAACGGUGGCUGCUAUUCCCUCCCGGGGCGACACCGCCCGGGGUGGUGCCGAGUGCCGACAUGGCUGAGGUAGCCACCCCGGUGUCGCUGACGGAGUGGCUCUUGAACUACUACGACGCAUGCCUGCAGGAGCUGCAGCACUGCGGGUACGAGUGCAUCUGCGAGCCUGGAGACAUCAUGUUUGUGCCGUGCGGGUGGUGGCACUUCAUCAUCAACCUCGAAGAUUCCAUCGCCAUUACGCAGAACUACGUCUCGCGGUGCAACUUGCCAAAGGUGAUCAAAUUCUUGCGCGCCAUGAAGGGGUCCAUCAGCGGCAUUGACGAGGAUGCCGACACGGCGACGGAGGAGUCUACAGAAAGGCGGCAGCGCGGCUUUGCGAAAGAGUUUGAGGCCGCCAUGAAGGCGGCGCACCCGGCUCUGAUGCAGGACGUGGCGCGGCAACUUGAGGAGGAGCAUCAGGCACGGGAGAAACGCCGGCUUGGCCGCUUGACGCUGCUAGACCCGUCCUCAGGGGGCUUCACCUUUAGCUUCUAGGCCACACAGGGCAGCAAAGUUUGGCGCGAGAGUGGGUGAGUGGGUGCCAGGUAGCCCCCAAGCCUGUGCCUGUACAGUGACGGUGAGAGUGUGGAGGCGGCAUCAUCACCGGCGCCGACUGCCACGCUCCUGUCCCCUCACUGGUGCCCCACAGAGGCACAAUCAUCCAUCAACACAAUAGCAGUGCCCCCGCCCACUGCCCCCUUUUCCCCAGCAUGCACACCCACAGCGAGUAAGCAGGAGAGAAUCAUGCCAUCGAGUCCUGCGGGAGGGGGACACUCGCAAACGCAUGAACCCCUCCUUUGGUGAAGGGGCCCAACGGCACGCCAAUGCACCUCGCCACGCUGUGUGCGCCUUCUUUUACCCCGUGACAGCUCUUGCCUAACACCGUAUAAUCAGUAUAACGACCGCUGCGUAUUCGUUCGUAACUAGCGGAACCAACUCCCCAGCAGGCCGUACAUGUAUGUGUGCGCAUGUGCCAUGCAUGGGGCGUACGGCUAUUCAUGGCAAGCCCGGCUAAACAUCUACACGAAAAGUCGUGCGCAUCAGCUCCGACCACCACGAAG